GUGGGGAAUAUUGGGCAAUGGGCGCAAGCCUGACCCAGCGACGCCGCGUGGGCGAUGAAGGCCUUCGGGUUGUAAAGCCCUGUCAUGCGGAAAGAACGACCCUGUGACGCAUACUCACAGGGAGUGACGGUACCGCAGGAGGAAGCACCGGCUAACUCCGUGCCAGCAGCCGCGGUAAUACGGAGGGUGCAAGCGUUGUUCGGAAUUAUUGGGCGUAAAGGGCGCGUAGGCGGUAAUGUAAGUCAGAUGUGAAAUACUCCGGCUCAACCAGAGAACAGCAUCUGAAACUGCAUAACUAGAGUACAGAAGAGGGAAACGGAAUUCCCGGUGUAGAGGUGAAAUUCGUAGAUAUCGGGAGGAACACCAGUGGCGAAGGCGGUUUCCUGGUCUGAUACUGACGCUGAGGCGCGAAAGCGUGGGGAGCAAACAGGAUUAGAAACCCGUGUAGUCC
rnacentral:rRNA from 1 species